rnacentral:rRNA from 1 species
GACGAACGCUGGCGGCGUGCUUAACACAUGCAAGUCGAACGGAAAGGCCCUGCUUUUGUGGGGUGCUCGAGUGGCGAACGGGUGAGUAACACGUGAGUAACCUGCCCUUGACUUUGGGAUAACUUCAGGAAACUGGGGCUAAUACCGGAUAGGAGCUCCUGCUGCAUGGGGGGGGUUGGAAAGUGUCGGCGGUGGGGGAUGGACUCGCGGCUUAUCAGCUUGUUGGUGGGGUAGUUGCUUACCAAGGCUUUGACGGGUAGCCGGCCUGAGAGGGUGACCGGCCACAUUGGGACUGAGAUACGGCCCAGACUCCUACGGGAGGCAGCAGUGGGGAAUAUUGCACAAUGGGCGGAAGCCUGAUGCAGCAACGCCGCGUGCGGGAUGACGGCCUUCGGGUUGUAAACCGCUUUCGCCUGUGACGAAGCGUGAGUGACGGUAAUGGGUAAAGAAGCACCGGCUAACUACGUG